rnacentral:rRNA from 1 species
AACGAACGCUGGCGGCAUGCCUAACACAUGCAAGUCGAACGAUGCCUUCGGGCAUAGUGGCGCACGGGUGCGUAACGCGUGGGAAUCUGCCUUUCGGUUCGGAAUAACUCAGGGAAACUUGAGCUAAUACCGGAUAACUUCGCAAGACCAAAGAUUUAUCACCGAAAGAUGAGCCCGCGUAGGAUUAGCUAGUUGGUGAGGUAAGGGCUCACCAAGGCGACGAUCCUUAGCUGGUCUGAGGGGAUGAUCAGCCACACUGGGACUGAGACACGGCCCAGACUCCUACGGGAGGCUGCAGUGGGGAAUAUUGGACAAUGGGCGAAAGCCUGAUCCAGCAAUGCCGCGUGAGUGAUGAAGGCCUUAGGGUUGUAAAGCUCGUUUACCCGGGAAGAUAAUGACGGUACCGGGAGAAUAAGCCCCGGCUAACUCCGUG